CCCCCAUUCCGUAUUCCGGUUAUAUCCGUUCCGGGUUUUCCGCGGUGCCCCAUCCCGGCCCAUCCCGGUAACUUUGGGAUGCUGCGAUCCCGAUUGAUCGGUUCUGAUUUUCUUCAUCCCAGGCAGUCUCAGGUUUAACGUGGAAACAGCGAGGCUUGCUCGGCUUGCAGGAGCAGGAGGCAGCCAAAGAGCUGAAGGAAGAGCCCAAACUGCUGUUUCAGAGCUGCUGGCACUUACCAGCUUACGGACACGGUCCAGCACCAUGUCAAUGCUUUCCUUGCCAAUGGUGUAGUGGCCACGGGCAUAAUUAUUGGCUGCAUCCUCCUUUCCAGUGAUCAGCUGUUCUGGGUGAAAAAGCUCCCGGAAGGCGCCAGCCCGAACUUCAUCUGAAGAAAAAAGCGAAAUUGUAAGAAUGUGAUCUUUGUGAGGGUCGUCCUCAGGAUGAGGUGAGA